rnacentral:rRNA from 1 species
UACGGAGGGUGCAAGCGUUAUCCGGAUUCACUGGGUUUAAAGGGUGCGUAGGCGGGCAGGUAAGUCCGUGGUGAAAUCUCUGGGCUUAACUCAGAAACUGCCAUGGAUACUAUUUGUCUUGAAUGUUGUGGAGGUAAGCGGAAUACGUCAUGUAGCGGUGAAAUGCUUAGAUAUGACAUAGAACACCAAUUGCGAAGGCAGCUUACUACACAAAUAUUGACGCUGAGGCACGAAAGCGUGGGGAUCAAACAGG